UCCAACGACGUUUCUCACUUCAAGUGUCUUGUGUACUCUUCCAAAACCAAUGAAGCUAGUGACCCACCUAAAGUGUCGUCCUCUGCUCUUUCUCUUACUUUCCUUUUCACCUCUCAGCUCAGGCCACCUCUCUCUAUUUUCACCACUAGCUCCCUCGGCGAAUUGUGGUUGUGAAUGAAGGGGAAAGAAUAUGAGUUUUUGGAGUUAGGGUUUGGUUCAAGAGAAAAUAAGGGAUUUGGGGGUAAAUCCCAC
rnacentral:lncRNA from 1 species